rnacentral:rRNA from 2 species
GGGUUGUGAGGUUAAGCGACUAAGCGUACACGGUGGAUGCCCUGGCAGUCAGAGGCGAUGAAGGGCGUGCUAAUCUGCGAUAAGCGCCGGUAAGGUGAUAUGAACCGUUAUAACCGGCGAUACCCGAAUGGGGAAACCCAGUGUGACUCGUCACACUAUCAUUAACUGAAUCCAUAGGUUAAUGAGGCGAACCGGGGGAACUGAAACAUCUAAGUACCCCGAGGAAAAGAAAUCAACCGAGAUUCCCCCAGUAGCGGCGAGCGAACGGGGAGGAGCCCAGAGCCUGAAUCAGCAUGUGUGUUAGUGGAAGCGUCUGGAAAGGCGCGCGAUACAGGGUGACAGCCCCGUACACAAAAGCGCAUGUGCUGUGAGCUCGAUGAGUAGGGCGGGACACGUGAUAUCCUGUCUGAAUAUGGGGGGACCAUCCUCCAAGGCUAAAUACUCCUGACUGACCGAUAGUGAACCAGUACCGUGAGGGAAAGGCGAAAAGAACCCCGGCGAGGGGAGUGAAAAAGAACCUGAAACCGUGUACGUACAAGCAGUGGGAGCACCCUUUGGGGUGUGACUGCGUACCUUUUGUAUAAUGGGUCAGCGACUUAUAUUCUGUAGCAAGGUUAACCGUAUAGGGGAGCCGAAGGGAAACCGAGUCUUAACCGGGCGUUAAGUUGCAGGGUAUAGACCCGAAACCCGGUGAUCUAGCCAUGGGCAGGUUGAAGGUUGGGUAACACUAACUGGAGGACCGAACCGACUAAUGUUGAAAAAUUAGCGGAUGACCUGUGGCUGGGGGUGAAAGGCCAAUCAAACCGGGAGAUAGCUGGUUCUCCCCGAAAGCUAUUUAGGUAGCGCCUCGUGAAUUCAUCUCCGGGGGUAGAGCACUGUUUCGGCUAGGGGGCCAUCCCGGCUUACCAACCCGAUGCAAACUGCGAAUACCGGAGAAUGUUAUCACGGGAGACACACGGCGGGUGCUAACGUCCGUCGUGAAGAGGGAAACAACCCAGACCGCCAGCUAAGGUCCCAAAGUCAUGGUUAAGUGGGAAACGAUGUGGGAAGGCCCAGACAGCCAGGAUGUUGGCUUAGAAGCAGCCAUCAUUUAAAGAAAGCGUAAUAGCUCACUGGUCGAGUCGGCCUGCGCGGAAGAUGUAACGGGGCUAAACCAUGCACCGAAGCUGCGGCAGCGA